rnacentral:rRNA from 1 species
GACGAACGCUGGCGGCGUGCCUAAUACAUGCAAGUCGCGCGGGUGACCCCUUCGGGGGAAGCCAGCGGCGGACGGGUGAGUAACACGUAGGCAACCUGCCCGUAAGACCGGGAUAACUAACGGAAACGUUAGCUAAUACCGGAUAGGAUCUUCUCCUUCAUGGGAGAUGAUUGAAAGAUGGUUUUGGCUAUCACUUACAGAUGGGCCCGCGGCGCAUUAGCUAGUUGGUGAGGUAACGGCUCACCAAGGCAACGAUGCAUAGCCGACCUGAGAGGGUGAUCGGCCACACUGGGACUGAGACACGGCCCAGACUCCUACGGGAGGCAGCAGUAGGGAAUCUUCCGCAAUGGACGAAAGUCUGACGGAGCAACGCCGCGUGAGUGAUGAAGGCUUUCGGGUCGUAAAACUCUGUUGUUAGGGAAGAACAAGUACAAGAGUAACUGCUUGUACCUUGACGGUACCUAACCAGAAAGCCACGGCUAACUACGUGUCAGCAGCCGCAGUAAUAC